rnacentral:rRNA from 1 species
GACGAACGCUGGCGGCGUGCUUAACACAUGCAAGUCGAACGGAAAGGCCCUGCUUGCAGGGUACUCGAGUGGCGAACGGGUGAGUAACACGUGGGUGAUCUGCCCUGCACUUCUGGAUAAGCCUGGGAAACUGUGUCUAAUACCGGAUAGGAGCCAUUUUUAGUGUUAUUGUUGGAAAGUUUUUUCGGUGUAGGAUGAGCUCGCGGCCUAUCAGCUUGUUGGUGGGGUAAUGGCCUACCAAGGCGGCGACGGGUAGCCGGCCUGAGAGGGUGGACGGCCACAUUGGGACUGAGAUACGGCCCAGACUCCUACGGGAGGCAGCAGUGGGGAAUAUUGCACAAUGGGCGGAAGCCUGAUGCAGCGACGCCGCGUGGGGGAUGACGGCCUUCGGGUUGUAAACUCCUUUCGCUAGGGACGAAGCUUUUUGUGACGGUACCUAGAUAAGAAGCACCGGCUAACUACGUG